UCUCGCAGACUCUGCUGCGCCGCCGCCGCCGCUGCUAGGGUUAGCCUGCCCUGCGCCAUCGCCUAGACGCCCGCGCGUGCCUUUCCUCUGUCACGGCCAAGAGGGAGGAGUGGGGUUGGUUGGCAAGCGGAUGGACGAGUUCAGGAUGAACAGGGCCGAGCGGCGUCGCCGGGAGAGAGAGAAAGAGAGGGCCACGAGCAGCUCACCCGCUGUCAGGAUGUAACGCUCUCUGAACGCGAUAAUUACUCGAACUAGCCCCGAUUGUAUUUAUGCAGCGGAUAAUUCUCUUACAACUCAGGGUACAAGUCGAGGAUCGACCGAAUUCUACCAAGUAUAUGUAGGGUUCUACGAUAGUCUAGCUAUUACAACUUGGAGAAAGGGGAAAGAUGCUGGGGAUCCCGAUCCGCUGAGGCUUAAUAGCUGGCGAGAAGGUGGCUGCACAUGUCAGCGCUGCAGCUGUCUUGGCGUAACGGCAACGGCUGGAAAAGGAACAGCGUUCCGUGACUGGUGCCAGCCGUUGAUCUUCAGGCGAUCAUUUCAUCGUAGCCGUCCAUUUCCCAGGUACGCAGCUCUCCGUCAGUGUCGCUUUCUUCAGGCUGGGUGUCCAUAUCUUCAGUUAAGUGUUGUUGAUCAUCAGGUUCCUGACAAUUGCUUCCUCCAGAAGAUGAUCCUAGUCCUCGAGGAUCUGUGGAUGGAAACCAGGAGCGAAUGGUCGCAUUGAAGAAUUCUGGGAAGGUGGACUUGAUGAAAUCGGCGUCUUCCCAUGUUGCUUCCUCGGGUGACAUGUUAAGCCACUGCACCAGCCACUGUGUCACAAGACGAGGGGGCCGUGGAACAGCUCGAGUUUCCAGAACCAAUACAGGAGCUACUUUGAUCUUGCCUGUCGAAUCCACCAAGGGAAGACCCGGAGCUGCAACUACAUUAGGUCCCAAAUGUUGCUUCAGUUGGCUGACAUGAAAUACAUUAUGUAUCUGUACUCCUACAGGUAGUUGUAGCUUGUGAGAAGAAUUGCCAAUUUUCUGUAGCACUCUGUAUGGUCCAUAGAACUUUGUUGCUAAUUUCAAUCCUGUUCUUAUACCAAAAGCAGCCAAUCUGUAAGGUUGCAUUUUUAAAUAAACCAUAUCUCCUGCUUGGAACUGUCUGUCACUUCUGUUUCUAUCUACAUGCUUUUUCAUUCUUUCUUGUGCUAUUUCCAAGUUGUGUCUGAGCUGUUGUUGUAUGUUUUCCUUCUGUUCUAACAAUGACUUUGCUUCAGUAUCUACAGGACCAGGUAUAGAGACCUCCCCAAUUUGAGGAGGGGGAAAACCAUAUAGACACUGGAAGGGAGUGAACUUAGUAGUUGUGUGGUAUGAUGUAUUGAACCACCAUUUGGCUAGUGGUAACCAGGAGUACCAUUUCUUGGGUUCAUUGAAGGCCAUGCAUCUCAAAUAUGCUUCUAAACAUUGAUUAACCCUCUCUGUCUGUCCAUCAGACUGGGGGUGGUGAGUUCUGCUCAUGUUCAGUUUGACUCCCAAUGUUUUAGACAGUGACUGCCAAAAGUUGCUGGUGAAUAUUGUAUCUCUGUCAGACACUAUGGAUACUGGCAGUCCAUGCAGUUUGAAAACAUUGUGGAUGAAUGCCUGUAGGACAGUAGUGACAGUGAAUGGGUGGGACAGAGCAAAAUCCAUGGAAAUGUGCCUCCAAGCCAUAUCAGGUAUUGGCAGAGGGUCCAAUAACCCAGGGUAGUGGCAGUGUUCCCCUUUAGCUCUCUGGCAGACGGGGCACUGUUUAAUGAAUUCUUCUACUGAACUUUUCAUGUUAGGCCAGUAGAAAAUUCUUUUGAUUCUAUGAUAGGUGGCUCUAAUCCCAGAGUGGCCACCCAUUGGAGAAGAGUGAAAGGUUUCAAGCAAGUGCUUUUGGAAACUCUGGUUUGGUCCAAUGUAAAUCCUGCUUUUAUAUCUGAUGACUCCUGAAUGAUAGGAGUAGUGAGGAAGUUCAGCAGAGCUAGCAAUGAGUUGUGCUAUCAGGUUCUUGCAUUUUUCAUCAGAUACAUAGGAAUCCUCUAUUUGUUAAGUCCAACUUGGUACUACUAUAGAGAUAGCCAUUAAGUGUGGUUGUCUAGAGAGAGCAUCAGCAGCUUUGUUUUCCUUGCCCUUUUUGUAUUGAAUAGUGUAUGUGAAUUCCAGUAACUUGAGCAUGAGUUUAUGCUGCACUCCUUCAGAAAUUCUUUGCUCUGUGAUAAACUUGAGGCUCUGGUGAUCAGUUUUAAUGAUGAGAGAGGAUCCCAGGAAAUAGUGUCUCCAUUUUCUGAGGGAUUCCAGUAUUGCAAUUGCUUCUUUCUCAUAAGUUGAGAGGGCAGCAACUUUGGGGCCCAAGGAUUUGCUGUAAUAAGCCAGGGGUCUGUGUUGCUGCAUGAGCACUGCUCCAAUAACAGUGCCUGAAGCAUCACAUUCUAGUUCAAAUGGGAUGGACAAGUUAGGAAGAGCCAGUACUAGUGCAGUAGUAAGACUGUUCUUGAGUUGUUCAAAAGCCACAGUCUGUUGCUCAGUCCAAAGAAAGGAGUCUUUCUUUAACAGAUUAUGGAGUGGCCUGCAAAUCAACCCAUAAUCUUUGAUGAACCUUCUAUAAUAACCAGCCAAUCCCAAGAAACUUCUCAACUCAGUUAUGUUAGUUGGUACUGGCCAUUGCUUGACAGCUGAUAUUUUUGCAGGGUCAGUUGCUACUCCCUGAGCAGACAGUAUGUGGCCCAAAUAUUCUACAGAAGAUGUUGCAAAAGUGCAUUUGGAGUAGUUCAGAAAAAGGUUGCUUUUCUUGAGUAUUUCCAUGACCAGUGCUAAAUGCUCCUUGUGUUCCUCCAUGUUUCUGCUGAAAAUUGAGAUAUCAUCAAAAAGUAGCAAAACAAAUUUCCUGAGAUAUGGAGCAAAAAGCUUGUUCAUGAGAGCUUGGAAAGUAGCUGGGGCAUUAGUCAAUCCGAAGGGCAUGACCAGAAACUCAUAAUGCCCUAAAUAUGUCCUGAAAGCAGUUUUAUGCACAUCCUCAGGUUUCAUCCUGAUUUGAUGAUAACCUGAUUUCAGGUCCAGUUUGCUGAAAACAGCUGCUCCAUGUAGUUCAUCCAAUAAAUCUUCUAUCACUGGUAUGGGAAAUUUGUUUUUGAUAGUUUGGGCAUUUAGCUUCCUAUAAUCAAUGCAAAGUCUCCAAGUUCCUCCCUUCUUUCUAACUAAGAUUGCAGGUGAAGCAUAGGGACUCAUACUAUGCUGAAUUAUGUGUCUGUUCAACAAUAGUUUAAUCUGCUAUUCCAUUUCAUUUUUCUGCAAAUGAGGAACUCUGUAUGGUCUGACAUUAGGAGGAGUGGAAUUUUCUUUGAGGGGAAUAGUGUGAUCACAUUCUAUGGAGGGUGGCAGUUCAGUUGGUUCAUUAAACAGCUCCUUGUAGUUGUUUAAAACUGGUAAAACUUCAGCUGCAGGUUUAAGAGGUUCCUGUGCUACCUGUUCCAGGGGAGUUUGGAUGUGUGUCAUAUAAUGCAAACUCAUAGUGAAACCCACAGCCCCUUGAGAACACAACUUGUCCAGCUUUUCAGCAGAUAUCAGUUUAGGAGGUUCACUAGCAGUGCAGUCUACAAAUGUGACCAGCUUGGUUUUGUCCUUAUUGAGAGUGACAGUUCUUGCUUCAAAAUCCAGAGAUAUGGGGCUGUGCUUUUUGAGCAUAUCACAACCCAGGACUACAUCAUACCCUUGCAUAUCAAGCACUGUUAGGUCAUUGGAAAAUGUUUCAUUCCCUAUUCCGAAACUUGCAUUUGGUGCAAUUGCUCCAGAAUUCAAUGAUCCUCCUCCAGCAACUUUUACUCUUUUUGCGGGUGUGUUCAAGAGGGAACAAUUGACCUUAAGAGCAAAUUUCAUGUCAAUGAAAGUGUUUGUACUUCCUGUGUCAAUUAGUGCCACUCCUUAUUUGUUCCCAAUCAUGAUCUGGACAGCUAGUGUUCCUUCAGAAGUGUUGCCUGAAACUGCUUGUGCAGAUAUUUGCAUGCAUUUGUCAGAACUAUAAAAAAAUUGCCCUUUAGCAGCUAGAACUGCUAGUUGUGCUUCUUCCUCUUGGGACAUUUCUUCACUUUGAUUUUCACUAGCAAUAGCAUGAAUGCUUAGAGAUUGCUUGCAUUUGUGCCCUGGGACCCAUGGUCCAUUACAUCUCCAGCAGACACCAGGUUUCCUAGUUGCAGGUGCUGCUGGUGGAACUGAGGUAUUUCUAGCUGUAGUAGUAGGAGUUUUGCUGUGAGUAGUAUGGAAUUGCAACUGCUUAUCCUGCUGGGUGACAUAAGCUUGGUACUUAGCUUGAAUACCACUUUCAAAAUCCUUAGCCAUCCAGUAAGCUUGGGUGAGGAGUUUGGGUCUCUGUGGUCUUAGGUUACAUCUGAUCGUUGGUUUCAGUCCAUUGAUGAAACUCACAACAUAGUAGUGCUCUUGCAGGUAGGGGUGCUCAUCUCUAACCACAGCCAUGAUCUCUUCAAACUUAUCAAUGUAAGUUGCCACUGUCAAUGUUCCUUGCCUGACAUUGUGGAAUUUUUCUAAUAUCUCAUAGAUACUAAAUCUGCAAAGCGAUCACAUAACAACCUGCAGAAAUCUUUCCAGGGUAUAGCACAAUUCUCUAACUGUGCACUUCUGACCCAGUUAUCAGCUCGCCCAAUGAAACAGGUGAGGGACAAGUCCACCUUGCAUUUGUGAGGAACUUGAGCCAGUUGGAAAUACUUAUUUACUUGUCUGAUCCAGCCCAGAGGAUUGUCACCAUUGAAAUAGGGGAAAUCAAUCUUAGGGCCUUUGGAGAUGUUUUUGACAAACUGAGUUGCACGUUCAGAUCUGUGCUGCUCACUUGUGGUCAGAUGAGUUUCUGUUGUUUUUGGCUGUUGCUCCGCUUGUUUCAGAUGUGUUUGUACAAGUACUUCCACUUGUUUUUGCAAAUCUUGCACUAUGAGCUGUUGACUGGAAGCAGAGUCUUAUUGCACUGCUAUGUUGCGUGACGACGAAGGUGAAUCAGGGUUGGGAGGGCGGGUAUUUUCACCUUGCAUUUGUCUCAGGAGAGCAAAAAUCUCGGUGUGAACCUUGGAAUUAUUCUCGACCAGUGUUUCCACCUUGCCGAUCUGGGCUUCCAAGGCUUCUACCUUGGACAGGCGGGAGUUGAUUUCUUCCACUUGAUCUUGGAUCUAACCUUGCUUGUGCGUCAUCGCCGUAACUUCGGCGCGAAGAACAUCUAGUUCUUCUGAGAUCUCCUCCAUGUGCUUGGUGCGUGACGGCAUGGUGAAAUCACUCAUAGCUCCAGAAUUUUACCACGGGAAGAACCCGGAACCCUUUCUAGAGAUCACCCUGAUCGGUUGCCAAUAGUGGAAUUUUACCGAGCCGAAACCCAACCACUGCAGCCUCGAUCUGAAUUUCGCCGAGAUUCGACUGGCUUCUGGUACCAAUUGUCAGGCUGUAACUCUCUCUGAACACGAUAAUUACUCGAACUAGCCCCGAUUGUAUUGAUGCAGCGGAUAAUUCUCUUACAAUUCAGGGUACAAGUCGAGGAUCGACCGAAUUCUACCAAGUAUAUCUAGGGUUCUACGAUAGUCUAGCUAUUACAACUUGGAGAAAGGGGAAAGAUGCUGGGGAUCCCGAUCCACUAAGGCUUAAUAGUUGGCGAGGAGGUGGCUGUGCACGUGAGCGCUGUAGCUGUCUUGGCGUAACGGCAACCGCUGGAAAAGGAACAGCGUUCCGUGACUGGUGCCAGCCGUUGAUCUUCAGGCGAUCCUUUCAUCGUAGCCGUCCAUUUCCCAGGUACGCAGCUCUCCGUCAGUGUCGCUUUCUUCAGGCUGGGUGUCCAUAUCUUCAGUUAAGUGUUGUUGAU
rnacentral:lncRNA from 1 species